UACAACUGUCAAUAUUUAAAAUAUUUCAUUGUCAUACAAUGGUCAUACAUUAUUUUCAAAAUUUCUAGUGAACUAAACUAUGACCACCGAUGAUAUAAUUUCAAUUCUGAAAAUAGUUGCUAUAGUAGUUUUGAUUUGUGUUGGUAUUAAUGUGAUAAGAUAAUAAUAAUUUGACUGGAAAAUGGCGGAAGACUGUAAAAAAAGAAGCUUUUUUGGCACUCUAAUCAAAUUUGGUAUUUUCUGUGGUGUUGUAUACUAUGGUUGUAAAUACGUAAAGAAAUUAAAAUGAACAUUGCUAUUACCUAAGUAUAAUAAUAAUAACAAUAUGGCUGAAAAUGAUAAUAAAAAUUUUUCAAU